AUUCAUUACAACAAUCCUAAGAAGAAAAAAAAGAUCUCUGCCUCCUUCUUCCACUCUCUUCUCCUUUACGAUAUUCCUUCUUCUUCUUCUCCUUUCUCUUUUUCUAGACUCUACUACAUCUUUCUCUUCACAUUCCCUUCAUUUUUUUUCUUCUAAAUCUGAAGCUUUAAUCCAUGGCAGCUAUGACCGAGAAUCUCCCUCAACUUAAUCCGCCUUCAAUGAGUUUACAGCGUGAGUGAAAAUGUUAGAAACGGAUUCAUCACAGCCGCAGCCGCAGCCGCAGCCGCAGCCUCAGGGAACAAGACGGGCGGAGAACAUCGUUGCUGUCACGGUUCCAUCACAGCCGCAGCCGCAGCCGCUCAACCAGCGGCUCAUAUCUUUGCGAAAACCCUAAUAUUUUAUUGGGUUGGGCUAUAUUAAUUGUAUGUUUGGGUUUUUGUUAACUGUAUUUUGGGCCUCUUAUUGUAUUUGUAAUGGUUUUUUGUCGAUUUGGAUUUUGUCAUAGAGUAAAUUUUCAUAUUUUUAAUAUGUGAACCGAAGUAGAAACCGAAUAAACCGAAGAAAAAAAAUUUGGUUCAA